rnacentral:lncRNA from 1 species
CGAGGCGCAGCGUGACGGCGGCGUGCAGCCCCACGGCCGGGCUGUAGCGCGUGAGCUCCAGGAACACAGCGCGGCUCCUGCGCAGAGGGGUCUGGCUGGACUAAAGGCAAAACUAAAGCCCAGAAGACAGACCAGUGCACCGGAUGCCCGUACCGCGUGAUGGCCAGGAAGGCCCGGCUGUGCAGCUCCUGCUUGAUGGCGCUUUGCAGACGGAGCCAGUGACCACCGAGGCUGUGCCACUGCAUCGGGCCACCAUGCUGAUAUGCCCGGUCCCAGAGCUGCUAGAGAAGAGGUACAGAGGCAGCGAAGACACGUUGAGGGGGAGGACGAGACCAACUGCGAGACGCCGAGUCCCGGGCUCUCAGGACGCUCUCCC